CCCUUAGAUGUUCUGGGCCGCACGCGUGCUACACUGAACGGUUCAAUGGGUAAGGUAGUGCGAAAGCAUGACCUAAUCUCGAAAUCCGUUCGUGCUGGGGAUAGAAGCUUGCAAUUAUCCUUCUUGAACGAGGAAUACCUUGUAAGCGUGAGUCAUCAUCUCACGCUGAAUACGUCCCUGCCCUUUGUACACACCGCCCGUCGCUCCUACCGAUUGAGUGUUCCGGUGAGGCUUUGGGAGAAUGGCCUCAACAUGAGUUUAUCGUGUUUUGCCGUUUGAACUUAGUCAAACCUUAUCCCUUAGAGGAAGGAGAAGUCGUAACA
rnacentral:rRNA from 1 species